CCUACGGGAGGCUGCAGUGGGGAAUAUUGCACAAUGGGGGAAACCCUGAUGCAGCAACGCCGCGUGAGCGAUGAUGGCCUUCGGGUCGUAAAGCUCUGUCCUAAGGGAAGAAUACUGACGGUACCUUAGGAGGAAGCCCCGGCUAACUACGUGCCAGCAGCCGCGGUAAUACGUAGGGGGCUAGCGUUAUCCGGAAUUACUAGGCGUAAAGGGUGCGUAGGCGGCCCGUCAAGUCAGAGGUGAAAGACUACGGCUCAACCGAAGUAAGCCUUUGAAACUGUAGGGCUUGAGUGCAGGAGAGGAGCGUGAAAAUCAUAGUGUAGUGGUGAAAUGCGUAGAUAUUGGGAGAAACAUCAGUUGCGAAGGCAGCUAUCUGGUCUGAAACGGAGGCUGUUGCCAUAACGCGUGAGAUGCUGACAGGAUUAGAUACCCUGGUAGUC
rnacentral:rRNA from 1 species